rnacentral:rRNA from 1 species
GACGAACGCUGGCGGCGUGCUUAACACAUGCAAGUCGAACGGACAGGCCAGGCUUUUGUGGGUUGCUCGAGUGGCGAACGGGUGAGUAACACAUGAGUAACCUGCCCUUGACGUUGGGAUAACUCCUGGAAACUGGGGCGAAUACCGGGUAUGAGAUCCUGCUGCAUGGGGUGGGUUGGAAAGUGUCGGCGGUUGGGGAUGGACUCGAGGCUUAUCAGCUUGUUGGUGGGGUAGGGGCUUACCAAGGCUUUGAAGGGUAGCCGGCCUGAGAGGGUGACCGGCCACAUUGGGACUGAGAUACGGCCCAGACUCCUACGGGAGGCAGCAGUGGGGAAUAUUGCACAAUGGGCGGAAGCCUGAUGCAGCAACGCCGCGUGCGGGAUGACGGCCUUCGGGUUGUAAACCGCUUUCGCCUGUGACGAAGCGUGAGUGACGGUAAUGGGUAAAGAAGCACCGGCUAACUACGUG